GAUGAACGCUGACAGAAUGCUUAACACAUGCAAGUCCACUUGAAUUUGGGUUUUUACCUUAGGUUUGGGUGGCGGACGGGUGAGUAACGCGUAAAGAACUUGCCUCACAGCUAGGGACAACAUUUGGAAACGAAUGCUAAUACCUAAUAUUAUGAUAAUAGGGCAUCCUAUAAUUAUGAAAGCUAUAAGCGCUGUGAGAGAGCUUUGCGUCCCAUUAGCUAGUUGGAGAGGUGACGGCUCACCAAGGCGAUGAUGGGUAGCCGGCCUGAGAGGGUGAUCGGCCACAAGGGGACUGAGACACGGCCCUUACUCCUACGGGAGGCAGCAGUGGGGAAUAUUGGACAAUGGACCGAGAGUCUGAUCCAGCAAUUCUGUGUGCACGAUGAAGUUUUUCGGAAUGUAAAGUGCUUUCAGUUGGGAAGAAACAAAUGACGGUACCAACAGAAGAAGUGACGGCUAAAUACGUG
rnacentral:rRNA from 1 species